CCUACGGGUGGCAGCAGUGAGGAAUAUUGGUCAAUGGACGAGAGUCUGAACCAGCCAAGUCGCGUGAAGGAUGACUGCCCUAUGGGUUGUAAACUUCUUUUAUAUGGGAAUAAAAUGUUCCACGUGUGGGCUUUUGUAUGUACCAUAUGAAUAAGGAUCGGCUAACUCCGUGCCAGCAGCCGCGGUAAUACGGAGGAUCCGGGCGUUAUCCGGAUUUAUUGGGUUUAAAGGGAGCGUAGGUGGAUUGUUAAGUCAGGAGUGAAAGUUUGCGGCUCAACCGUAAAAUUGCAGUUGAAACUGGCAGUCUGGAGUGCAGUAGAGGUGGGCGGAAUUCGUGGUGUAGCGGUGAAAUGCUUAGAUAUCACGAAGAACUCCGAUUGCGAAGGCAGCUUACUGGACUGCAACUGACACUGAGGCUCGAAAGUGUGGGUAUCAAACAGGAUUAGAUACCCCUGUAGUC
rnacentral:rRNA from 1 species